AAAAAACUCAGUUCCUUUAUAUUUUCAGUAAAUAAGACCUGUCCUGAGCUUAACUGGAUAUUUAAAUAUGAGGAACCAUUCCUACACAUGUCCCUACCAGUCUGUGGAGAUGUUAUUAAACCACAGCUGAUGAAAUAGUUAUCAUAACUCAUGGUUUCCUCAAGUCUAUCAGUUCUGUUUGGAUGGUUCAACUCUCUACAGCGCUUAUGCAGAAAAAUAAAACAACUGCAGUGCUUCUAGUUGGUUGGGGGCAUGGCAGUGGCGGGCUUCCUUUCCCUGAUCCCUUCUAUUAUUACCAGGCUGCAGCUAAUACAAGGUAUAUGGGAGUAGCUGUCGGUCAGAUGCUAUCAUACAUAGUAGAGCAGGUCAACAUGCUCACUAACAGGUCAGAAAUA